rnacentral:rRNA from 1 species
CCUACGGGGGGCAGCAGUGAGGAAUAUUGGUCAGUGGACGAGAGUCUGAACCAGCCAAGUAGCGUGAAGGAUGACUGCCCUAUGGGUUGUAAACUUCUUUUAUAUGGGAAUAAAACGUUCCACGUGUGGGAUUUUGUAUGUACCAUAUGAAUAAGGAUCGGCUAACUCCGUGCCAGCAGCCGCGGUAAUACGGAGGAUCCGAGCGUUAUCCGGAUUUAUUGGGUUUAAAGGGAGCGUAGGUGGAUUGUUAAGUCAGUUGUGAAAGUUUGCGGCUCAACCGUAAAAUUGCAGUUGAAACUGGCAGUCUUGAGUACAGUAGAGGUGGGCGGAAUUCGUGGUGUAGCGGUGAAAUGCUUAGAUAUCACGAAGAACUCCGAUUGCGAAGGCAGUUCACUGGACUGCAACUGACACUGAGGCUCGAAAGUGUGGGUAUCAAACAGGAUUAGAUACCCCAGUAGUC